CAUCCACAAUAAAUUUUUUAGUUAGCAUGAAUAUAUGAACAAAACAUGAGGCCAUGAACCAUUUAUUGUUACUUUGUUGUGAUUAAUUUUGUGUCUUUUUUCAUAGGUGAGACUCACUUCUUUUAAGGAUGAGCUUGUGCUUCACAAAGGGAACGACUUCAACGGAUCAGCUUUGGAGACAACAUCUGCAGCAAAAUAAAUAAUUUCAAAAUAUUUUCAAUUUUUUAUAAAGAAAAUUUUCAUAAAAACAAUCAUGUGACAUGUUAGACUAUUGAGAAUUUGUUGGUUCAAUAACUGAACUAAAACUUACGAAACUUCAUGUGAAGAACAACCAAAAUAAUACAAUAAAUAAACCGAAGCUUGCUAUA